UUUAGAUGGCGACCGGCGCACGGGUGAGUAACACGUAUCCAACCUGCCGAUGACUCGGGGAUAGCCUUUCGAAAGAAAGAUUAAUACCCGAUGGCAUAGUUCUUCCGCAUGGUGGAACUAUUAAAGAAUUUCGGUCAUCGAUGGGGAUGCGUUCCAUUAGGUUGUUGGCGGGGUAACGGCCCACCAAGCCUUCGAUGGAUAGGGGUUCUGAGAGGAAGGUCCCCCACAUUGGAACUGAGACACGGUCCAAACUCCUACGGAGGCAGCAUG
rnacentral:rRNA from 1 species